CACUGACAUUAGAUACCCGUGUAGUCCAGGGUGUAAACGCUGCAGACUUGGUGUUGGAGGCCCUUUGGGGGCAUUCAGUGCCGGAGAGAAGUUGUUAAGUCUGCUACUUGGGGAGUACGUCCGCAAGGAUGAAACUUAAAGGAAUUGGCGGGGGAGCACCGCAACGGGAGGAGCGUGCGGUUUAAUUGGAUUCAACACCGUAAAACUCACCAGGGAAGACUGUUACAUGAAGGCCGAGAUGAAGACUCUGCUAGAUUUUCAG
rnacentral:rRNA from 1 species